rnacentral:rRNA from 1 species
GAUGAACGCUAGCGGCAGGCCUAAUACAUGCAAGUCGAGGGGCAGCGGGGUAGCAAUACUGCCGGCGACCGGCGCACGGGUGCGUAACACGUAUGCAACCUACCUUAAACUGGGAGAUAGCCCGGGGAAACUCGGAUUAAUACCCCAUAAUACAUUUGGUUCACAUGAAUUGAUUGUUAAAGAUUUAUCGGUUUAAGAUGGGCAUGCGUUCGAUUAGCUAGUUGGUAAGGUAACGGCUUACCAAGACUACGAUCGAUAGGGGGUAUGAGAGGAUGAUCCACCACACUGGUACUGAGAUAAGGACCAGACUCCUAUGGGAGGCAGCAGUAGGGAAUAUUGGUCAAUGGAGGCAACUCUGAACCAGCCAUGCCGCGUGUAGGAAGAAGGCGUUCUGCGUUGUAAACUACUUUUGAUUGGGAACAAAUGACUCUUGCGAGAGUAGCUGAGUGUACCAAUAGAAUAAGCCACGGCUAACUACGUGCCAGCCGCCGCGGUAA